GUUUCACUGUAACUAGUUGAGUUCUAGGGUGAGGUUGAGGACUACAAUUGGACUUCCUCCUGCUAUGUGAAAUACCUCUCACUAGUUCCUGUCUUAGCUAAGAGAUGAAUAUGAUGUUUAUGGGUUGGACUAAAUUAGGUCAUAAGUUAAAUCUUGAGGUUUAGUAGUUACUAUCUGGUGAUUAGAGAUCUUUUAAACCACUGGACAUUGUGAGCAAUUUGUAUAUUUCUGGAGAUUUUAGAGAGUGCUUAACUGGGCUGACAUUUUUUUUUUCUUGAUCUUAUUGCAAACGCAGUAAAGAACACUGUCUAGGAAGCCUUACCAUAUCCUCCCUUUGUGGGUGUGUUUAAUCUCAUUGUGCAAAUAAAUAUUCUUCGUUUGUUUUCGGUGUAGGUUCUUUUUCUUAGACCUUGGAAACUCUGAAGAACUUUGCAUAUAUAAGUGUUUGGUGUCUUUAUGGGUAUUCUGGAAAAAAAAAGAAGAAGAAAAGAAAGGAAAGACAAAGAGAGAUAGAUGAAGAGAAAAAGGGAGAAAGAGAGUACAACUAAGAAAAAGAGAAAGAUGUCAAAAAUGAAAGCCAUUAUUGCCAGAAUUCCUAUCUUCAUCCCAGUGCUGGUGAAGUCAAAGAUAAAACCAAUCUACAGCUUCUACAAUAGCCAUCACUGAACUGCUUGCAGAACUUGCCUGGACACAUUGUGAGCUCACCUGUAUGCAUUGUGAACUAUCUGUUGGUGCAGCAACUUGUGGUAGUGUUGGGGUAUUUUUGCUGAUGAUGUCAUUGGUGGUACAAUUUUUCCAAAAGGAGCCGUCAAUUGGCUUGGUGUAUCUUCCUCCCUUCUGCUUGUCAUGAUCGUCCAGCUAAAAUUUGGGGGCCAACAGAGGUGAGGCAAAGAACCUCACCCCCCCCCCCCCGCUGGUACAAAGACCUCUCCACAGGUGUGGCUGUAUACUGGACCGGUAGUCAGUGACGGGUAAGAUCUAAUUGCAAUGGUACCAACCUAAGGACCAUAUGUACUAUUGGACAACCUAAGGCAGGCACGGUCCCUAAGCCACAUGCUUGUUGUUUAAACAGAGAGGGGGAGAUGUUGAGAGCCACAGCCGAAGGGGCCCCAGCAAACUUCCAGCUGCCAGCAAACUUCCAGCUGCCGGCUGAUGAUUGGCUCACAGCGGCCCCAGCAACAUCUAGCUGAUUGGCUCCUCAGCCCCAGCAACAUCUAGCUGAUUGGCUCCUCUGCGGUGAUGCUCAUUGGGCUGUUUCCCUGCCCUUUCAGACCACGGAGCUGCUCAUUGGGGGACUUUUUUGGCUCCACCCACGUGACCCAGCCAAUCGGCCUCAAGAGCAGGAGGAUUGUGGGAGGUGGAGAGAAGCUUGUGUGGGAGAGAGAGGCUUGUGGAAAGCCGGUGGUGGCAGUUGAGGCUCUGAGGGUUUUUCCUGAGAGGCUGUUUUGUUUAGCAUGUGUGGUUCUAAAAAUAAAGUUAGUUUCUUUUGACAAGUGGCUCCUGAUUGUGCCCAGCCAGACUGCGGCAUUUAAACAAGAGUGUCACAGCUGCUGACUCUGAUUUUCUGUUUUAAUGUUUGUACAGUUGUCUCCCCACAUCCAUGCUUUUAUUAUGUAGUUUCAAUUACCCACAGUCAACCACAGACUGAAAAUGUUAAAUGGAAAAUUUCAGGAAUAAACAAUUUCCAAGUUUUAAAUUGUG